rnacentral:rRNA from 1 species
UUAGACGGUAGGGUAUUGGCCUACCGUGGCUAUGACGGGUAACGGGGAAUUAGGGUUCGAUUCCGGAGAGGGAGCCUGAGAAACGGCUACCACAUCUAAGGAAGGCAGCAGGCGCGCAAAUUACCCAAUCCUAAUACAGGGAGGUAGUGACAAGAAAUAACAAUACAGAGCCUUACGGUUUUGUAAUUGGAAUGAGUUAAGUAUAAACCCCUUAACAAGUAUCAAUUGGAGGGCAAGUCUGGUGCCAGCAGCCGCGGUAAUUCCAGCUCCAAUAGCGUAUAUUAAAGUUGUUGCAGUUAAAAAGCUCGUAGUUAAUUUUCUGUUAAUUUUUAUAUACAAUGCUACGGUAUUUAUAUAAUAUUAACAUAAUUCAUAUUACUUUUUAGUAUAUGAAACUUUACUUUGAGAAAAUUAGAGUGCUUAAAGCAGGCUAUUGCCUUGAAUACUCCAGCAUGGAAUAAUAUUAAGGAUUUUUAUUCUUCUUAUUGGUUCUAGAAUAAAAAUAAUGAUUAAUAGGGACAGUUGGGGGCAUUUGUAUUUAACAGUCAGAGGUGA